GGUUUUGUAGCUUAGUUGGUAAGAGCGCCGGUCUAGCGUACACGGAUUCGUGAGUUCGAAUCUCACUAGAACGC
rfam:Aedes aegypti strain Liverpool supercont1.610 genomic scaffold, whole genome shotgun sequence.